GACGAACGCUGGCGGCGUGCUUAACACAUGCAAGUCGAACGGAAAGGCCCUGCUGUUGUGGGGUGCUCGAGUGGCGAACGGGUGAGUAACACGUGAGUAACCUGCUCUUGACUUUGGGAUAACUUCAGGAAACUGGGGCUAAUACCGGAUAGGAGCUCCUGCUGCAUGGUGGGGGUUGGAAAGUCUCGGCGGUUGGGGAUGGACGGGCGGCUUAUCAGCUUGUUGGUUGGGUAGUGGCUUACCAAGGCUUUGACGGGUAGCCGGCCUGAGAGGGUGACCGGCCACAUUGGGACUGAGAUACGGACCAGACUGGUACGGGAGGCAGCAGUGGGGAAUAUUGCACAAUGGGCGGAAGCCUGAUGCAGCAACGCUGCGUGCGGGAUGACGGCCUUCGGGUUGUAAACCGCUGUAGCCUGUGACGAAGCGGGAGUGACGGUAAUGGAUAAAGAAGCACCGGCUAACUACGUG
rnacentral:rRNA from 1 species